UACAGAUUAAAAUAGACUGCAGGAGCUUACACCUUCCAUUACCGCACACCUCCUUCUUCCUGACAGUCUUAUCUCAGUGGAUUACCUGACUUCACUUUAGCUCAAAGCAGAAGCUCUUUCUCUGGAGAAGAGGCAGGAGGAACGCUGACUGCAUAAAGAAGGGUUAAUUCCAGCGGUCUCCAAACGCAGCAAAGAGGAAGGUCACUCUGAAAAAACAGUGAGGAGGGCCUGAAACUGAAGUCCCAGAAGGAUUGAGAUUAAUUUGACUCUGCAUUCGAUGGAUUUGUCCAGUGAUCAGUGCGAUUCGGUGGUGGUAAGCGUGGAGUCCCUCUUGAGUGACGCCAAGAGGAUGCAGGCGCAGUGCCGAGAGCGCAGCUCGCAGCUCGCCGCCGCCACCGCUCAGCUGAGGUCGGACUCGGCGGCCCUCAGGGAGCAGUGCGAGGCCACCCAGCUAGACAUGGCCCACAUCCGCCGGCAGCUGGAGGAGCUCCUGGAAACCAAGUCGGCCUUCGAGGCCAAGGAGAGGCAAGCCCGGAAACUCAGCAAGCACCUGUGACGGCCUGAAGAAGAGGAGGAGGGCAGACCCGCUUCCAGAGAAGGAAGGAAGGAGCUGUUUUAGGAGUUCAAUGCCUCUAGACUAGAAAAAUGUGUAGUUUUAUGAAAAGAUAAGGCCUUGAAAAAGAAGCACUUUAUCAUCAUCAUCCAUCUGGUUCCUCUGCUUUUCCUCCACCUGAAGUCUGCACUUGAUUUUGAAGAUCUUCAUGUUAAUUAAACUUCAUCCACAUGUUACUGUCCUUUUGUUUAUUAGGCUUUCAAGUAAAAAACAAGUGAUCUAA